rnacentral:rRNA from 1 species
AUGGGGAUGGCGUGGUCGCGGCAGCAGGGGGACGCGGCCCGCGCGGCGGCGCGGGAGCACACGAGGCGGUGCAGGGAGCGGCGCCGGCUCAUGAGGGAGGCCGUGCGGGCGCGGCGCCAGCUCGCCGCCUCGCACGCCGGCUACCUCGCCUCGCUCGGCCUCGUGGCGUCCGCGCUCACCCACUUCGCGCUCGGCGAGCCGCUCCCCGUGUCCGACCACACGCCGCCCGCCGUGCUCGUGCACCGCCCGGCCCCCGCCCCCUCCACGCCGCCGCCGCUCCUCCGCUCCAUCCAGCCGGCGCAGCAGGACGGCGCUGCCGCUGCCGAGGCGCCUCCCGCAGCCGCCGCCCGGACGGAGGGCGGCGUCGUUGGCGGGGAGGACCUGCGGGUGGCGGUGAGGCACCGGAGCCUCGCGGAGGUUGCCGCGGGGCUGGAGGAGUACUUCCUCAGGGCUAGCGCCGCCGGCGACCCGGUGUCGAAACUCCUCGAGGCCAGCAACGCCGAGUACAGUGGUGGACGGAGCAGCUUCUUUGGCGUGCUUUGCUGCAUGUCGUCGCCGUCAGUUUCGCACGACCGGAUCGACAGCAUGCACGACCGGAUCGGCAAGCGGCAUAGCUCUACACUGCAGCAACUCAUGGUCUGGGAGAAGAAGCUGUACAAGGAGGUGAAGGCGAGGGAGCGGCUGCAGAUCCAUCACGACAAGAAGCUGGCGGCGCUCCGGGACCAGGAGUACAGCAGGAAGGUCAACGUGGACAUCCAGAAGCUCAAGGGCGCGUGGGACAGGGCGCGCGCGCAGCUCGCCACGGCGUCCGAGGCCGCGCACGCCGGCUCCGCGGCCAUCUCCGAGCUCCGGGACACCCACCUCGCGCGCCAGGUGCUGGGGCUCUGCCACGCCACGCGCGACAUGUGGAAGGCCAUGCGCCAGCACCACGAGGCGCAGGGCCUGAUCGCGCAGCAGCUGCGCGGGCUCAGCGGCCGGACGUCCAUGGACGCUACGACGGAGAUCCAGCACGGGGCGACGCGGGCGCUGGAGGCCACCAUGUCGGCCUGGUGCGCCGCCCUGGGCCACCUGGCCAAGCACCAGCGCGACUACGUCGCCGCCCUGCACGGCUGGCUCAAGCUGACGCUGGCGCCGUCCGCGGACGGCGCCCCGGCCUCCCCCGUCGCCGCGGAGCUCGCCGCCUUCGUCGACCGGUGGAGGCAGGCGCUGGACGGCGUGCACUGCGCCGAGGUGCUCAAGUCCAUCAAGAACUUCGCCGGCGCCACCCACGCGCUCUACGCGCACCAGGGCGACGAGCUCCGGGCGGCGCGCCGGGUCGCGCAGUGCACCCGCGAGCUGGACCGCAAGUCCCGGAUGCUGCGGCAGGUGGAGAAGAGCCACUACGACUCGUACGCGCCGGCGGGGCUCGCGCUGUGGAACCGGGGGAGGCACUGGAUGGAGCACGACAUGCGGCAGGUGCACCACGCGCACAACGAGGUGGUGCAGCGCAAGGAGGAGAUCGACGCGUGCCGGAGGAAGCUCGAGGGCGAGAUGAAGAGGCACGCUAUGGCCAUCGACGCCACCAGGUCCUCGGCGGUCGCCGGCGUGCAGAGGACGCUGCCGGCGGUGUUCCAGGCCAUGGCCACCUUCUCGGCGGCGCUUGCCACCGCUCUCGACGCGGUGUGCAGACACGGCGGCUAUGUGCAGUAG